UCUGAUGGGCUUCCCUUUGUGGGUAACCUGACCUUUCUCUUUGGCUGCCCUUAACAUUUUUUCCUUCAUUUCAACUUUGGUGAAUCUGACAAUUAUGUGUCUUGGAGUACUCAAGAGGGAAAUAUCUGUAAAGAAUUCGUAAACGUUUUUUGGGUUGAAGGCAUUUGUGAAUGGUACCACCAGUAUUAUAAAGAUUUCUUUAAAAGUUCUCUGAAGUU
rnacentral:lncRNA from 1 species